rnacentral:rRNA from 1 species
UACGUAGGUGGCGAGCGUUGUCCGGAUUUACUGGGCGUAAAGGGCGUGCAGGCGGUUUGUUAAGUGCAGGGUGAAAGCUCCCGGCUCAACUGGGAGAGGUCCUUGCAUACUGGCGAACUCGAGGGAGGCAGAGGAAAGUGGAAUUCCCGGUGUAGCGGUGAAAUGCGUAGAUAUUGGGAAGAACACCGGUGGCGAAGGCGGCCAUCUGGACCGGAACUGACGCUGAGGCGCGAAAGCCAGGGGAGCGAAUGGG